AAAUUGAAGAGUUUGAUCAUGGCUCAGAUUGAACGCUGGCGGCAGGCCUAACACAUGCAAGUCGAACGGUAACAGGAAGCAGCUUGCUGCUUUGCUGACGAGUGGCGGACGGGUGAGUAAUGUCUGGGAAACUGCCCGAUGGAGGGGGAUAACUACUGGAAACGGUAGCUAAUACCGCAUAACGUCGCAAGACCAAAGAGGGGGACCUUAGGGCCUCUUGCCAUCGGAUGUGCCCAGAUGGGAUUAGCUAGUAGGUGGGGUAACGGCUCACCUAGGCGACGAUCCCUAGCUGGUCUGAGAGGAUG
rnacentral:rRNA from 1 species